UGCCAGCAGCCGCGGUAAUACGGGAGGGGCAAGCGUUAUCCGAAAUGACUGGGCGUAAAGAGUCCGUAGACUGUACUGUAAGUUAUUUGUUAAAUCCUAAAGCCCAACUUUAGAACAGCAUUUAAUACUACUUUACUUGAGUUUUGUUCGGAAGAGUAGAAUUCCACGUUUAGGGAUAAUCCCCGUAGAUAUGCGGAGGAACACCAUUAGCGAAGGCGACUCUUUGGUAAAAACUGACGUUGAGGGACGAAAGUGUAGGGAGCAAACAGGAUUAGAUA
rnacentral:rRNA from 1 species